rnacentral:rRNA from 1 species
CCUACGGGAGGCAGCAGUGGGGAAUUUUGGACAAUGGGCGAAAGCCUGAUCCAGCAAUGCCGCGUGAGUGAAGAAGGCCUUCGGGUUGUAAAGCUCUUUUGUCAGGGAAGAAACGGUGAGGGCUAAUAUCCCUUGCUAAUGACGGUACCUGAAGAAUAAGCACCGGCUAACUACGUGCCAGCAGCCGCGGUAAUACGUAGGGUGCAAGCGUUAAUCGGAAUUACUGGGCGUAAAGCGUGCGCAGGCGGUUUUGUAAGUCUGUCGUGAAAUCCCCGGGCUCAACCUGGGAAUUGCGAUGGAGACUGCAAGGCUAGAAUCUGGCAGAGGGGGGUAGAAUUCCACGUGUAGCAGUGAAAUGCGUAGAGAUGUGGAGGAACACCGAUGGCGAAGGCAGCCCCCUGGGUCAAGAUUGACGCUCAUGCACGAAAGCGUGGGGAGCAAACAGGAUUAGAUACCCUGGUAGUCCACGCCCUAAACGAUGUCUACUAGUUGUCGGGUUUUAAUUAACUUGGUAACGCAGCUAACGCGUGAAGUAGACCGCCUGGGGAGUACGGUCGCAAGAUUAAAACUCAAAUGAAAUUGACCGGNUGAGACGNGCGAGACGACGACGAGGAGGAGG